rnacentral:rRNA from 1 species
UAGGGAAUCUUCGGCAAUGGACGGAAGUCUGACCGAGCAACGCCGCGUGAGUGAAGAAGGUUUUCGGAUCGUAAAGCUCUGUUGUUAGAGAAGAACGUUGGUAGGAGUGGAAAAUCUACCAAGUGACGGUAACUAACCAGAAAGGGACGGCUAACUACGUGCCAGCAGCCGCGGUAAUACGUAGGUCCCGAGCGUUGUCCGGAUUUAUUGGGCGUAAAGCAAGCGCAGGCGGUUCUUUAAGUCUGAAGUUAAAGGCAGUGGCUUAACCAUUGUACGCUUUGGAAACUGGAGGACUUGAAUGCAGAAGGGGAGAGUGGAAUUCCAUGUGUAGCGGUGAAAUGCGUAGAUAUAUGGAGGAACACCGGUGGCGAAAGCGGCUCUCUGGUCUGUAACUGACGCUGAGGCUCGAAAGCGUGGGGAGCAAACAGG